GGAGACAAAGGAAAGGAGAGAGGUGACGGGGCGGGGCUGGCCUGCGCGGCUUCGAUGGGAAACGACCAGGCGUCUCCGUCCUCCUGCGUGCGUGCACUGCAACAAACGAGAACAUGGCGGAGGUGCAAAGCAACGGGUCUCCAGCAAUGCGAGGAAGAGGAGGGAGCCAGAUCCGCGAUGGUACGUGUAGGAUCCAUUUGUUCCCAACGGUUUGGGAGAGUCCCCAUGCCACGACGGCGAGCUCCUUCGGCGGCCAUGGACGUCCUACUGGAUGGAAAGGAGAGAGAGGUUAUGGGAGGACGAGAACUGGAGAAGGAGAGGGAGGCGUGGGGCUUGGGGUCGACCUGGUGCUCUGGCGAGGCGGGCUGGAGAGCUCAGGCCGGCAUGGGGCUCCAGCGUCGUGGUCGAGGCGGGGAGGGGUCAGGCGCUGGGAAGGGCUCCGCGGCUCUGCGAGUACGCGUACGCCCCGCUGCAAGCAUUGGACGCGUCCGGCUGCUCUGCUCGCGAGGAGCUCCUCGGUUGAGCAGAAUCGGGGAUCUGGGGCAAGGAUUGGUUAGCUGAGAGGGGAUUGGGUAGGCACGCAAACGUUUGCCGGUGGAGAAAACGAGGUGGGUGGCAGCGAGGCUCGGGAUUGGGGAUAGGAUAGACCUCCUAGAUUUUAGGGUUGGGUCUAAUAGGCAUUUGGACCCU
rnacentral:lncRNA from 1 species